CCCUAAUUUUUUUUGCUGGAACUGAACCCUAAUUCAAUCCCUAUAAAUAAGCAGUUCUCAAUUCUCAUCUCUCUACUUUCUGAAACUCGAGUCAUUUGACAUGGAAUGGGUACACUGAAGAGCUGGUAGGUGUUUCAUUCCUCUUAGGGUUUAGAUAGUAUUGUUUCGUUCAUGAUUGCUGUUUAGAUUUCUUAGUCUAUUCGUUUUUCGCUCAAUUUAUUUUUUCAAUCGAUUUUUUUUUUCUUUGGGUGAAUCCAAUUAAUCCUUUCGAGGGAUAAGAAAGGAAUUGUAAUAGGUAGAAGAUUGCGGUGAUGACUCAGAAAAUUCAAGCUCAACAGACCGGAAUGCAGGUUUCUUCUUCUUGGAGGGGAAAAUCGAUGGUUGCAAUGAGGAUAACAAGCUCCCUCUUCUGAAAUCAAGUUGAGGACAAAUGCUGGCGGAAUCGAACCUAAUUCUCAAAAUCGCCAUUGCUGAGUAAUCUAAUUUUCCCUUCUGCAUAUCCAAUUACGGGAAUAGUUAUAAAAAUUUCUAAUUUUUAGCUUCAUAUUUGAUUUCAAUGGUCCAUGAUAGAUGAGGAUGAGGCAAUAUUAGCAUUAUAUCCAACACUUGAUCUGAGGAAUUUGUUUCCAAGUGAUUCAACUUUUUGCUUCUGAAUCUAUCUUAGUUCUGAUUUUUUGAUUUUUUUAAUCCCUUCUUUUUCUUUGGGAUUGGUUAUGUGGUUUUUAAAGAUAAAAUUAGAAGAGAAGAGGUGUUCAUCAAAUGAUGAAAUCAGAAAAUAAAUCUUAGGACACCUUCCUACGCGACUCUUCACCGAGUUGUGGAUGAGAAAGACAUUUCUAAUCUGAUGAUGAAUGCACG